AAGCAUUUGCAGUUUGCAAGGAUCUUCCUUGUCUCCGAUUAGAAGCUUAACACCUCUUUUGUGCUGCUUACAUAGUACGCCGAACAAUUCUUGAUGCGUUAAUAGAGAAGCAACUAGCUAGCUAGGAAUCCAAAAUGUUUAUCUCGGAUUAAAAGUCUUAGAUCGUGGCCCAAUUGCAAAUUGUAACACCUGAUGUUCAAAAGGUUGAAAUUUCCUACUUAAUUUAUACGCUGGUUUAUCGUCUUCAGUUCAGUUUCUUUUCUUUAAGAAAACUCAGGUCAAAAGAGGUCCAGCGUAGUUGGUUCGGAAAGUUUUCAAACAAAGAAGAAGAUCCUCACAAGAUUUGGUUAGAGGAGAACAUCUUGCUAUUCUUCGGAUGGCAAGAAAUCUUUUUCCUUGCUUCUUUUUAUGAAAUAUGUCAUCUAAACACUAGCUUGUCUGCAUUUACUUUGCCUCUUCACUUUUGAGUGUCGUCAAUUAAACAACUUACUCAAAUGAAAUCCCCAAGAGACUAGCUCUGUUGAUUUUCAUCUUUUGUUUCGCCUCUCUUUCUAGAAUUCUCGGCACUUAGAAUUGAACAACGAAAUCAAAGUGAGAAGAACUUUAAUGUCCUGCGGAUGAUCUAGGCCUUUUGUGUUUGGGAUGAAGUGUUACAUCUACGGCACGAUUGCAUGAAAUUGGUUGUUUUAUUUUGUUUUUACCCCUAGAUUGCUAAUUAAUGUUUUGAACAAAGAGUCCCUGAUGUAAUACCUAUUGCAAGUUUUUACAAGGUCGGUUUCUUCUGCAUUGUUUGCUGAAUAGAAGUGCUUAGACAUAGGCCCUGUUAUGAGGUUUAUUCUGAGACAAAAUAGAACUGUUAUCGGCAUAAGGUGGUGAUCAUUGUUAAAGAAUUGUGAUUACAGUCUCCUAUUCGAGGCUUUUACUAUGUGAUGGGACCGAAAUUUUGCCUCGUCUCUUCAUCUAUAUUAUGAAAAUAUAUCUAAUUUUGCUAUUUCUUCGCAUUUGUACAACUAGGAAUAAAAAUGGUAUCGCGCAGAUGUAUCUAUUUUCGCGAACUCUAUAGUACCUGUGGUUUUGUUAUUAGUCUUUUAAUUCUGCAGUUGCAUUACAGCGCUAGUUUUGUUCAAAAUCUUGUAUUCGGGAUACUCAGAUUCUGCAGUUUUUUUUUUUUUUUUUUUUUUUUGCCCAUAGUUUUGUUUGGCAGUACAUUGAUACACCUGCUUUAGUCAUUUUAUUCAUAUAACUUAAAGCAUUUGUGGGACUAUGUUUAUUAUUGCUAAGUCGUGCAUUUUAAUUUAAUUUAUUAUUUUUUUUUAGUAAUUUGAUUGCUAGUCAUAUAAUUAUUAUUAUUAUUAUUAUUAUUAUUAUUUUUUAGGUUUUAAGGUAUUUACAUAUAAGAACUAAUAUUGUUUUGUUUAUGGUAUUUGAUUUUUGUUUUUCUAAAUCCUGCCUCUUCGCCUAUUGCAAUAUGUGCAUCACUGCGAGUGGAAGGAUUUGAUUUUACUCCAAUAGAAAAUAAGCAAUUUAUCUAUGGGUUUUACCAACUGCAGUCAUUUACAAAAUGUUAGUAAAAUUAAAGGCUUAUUUUACUGUCAAGAGGCUGCUAUCGCGGAUUGCGAAUAAUGUGGGUCGAAGAGCUAUUCGACAAUGUUAUUUAGUCAAGGAUUAAUCACUGAUAUCAUAAACAGUAAUGUUAGCGAGAUAUCAUAAAUAUGCAAGUAUUUUUUAAUUAUAUUAUAUAGCAUUAUUAUUAUAUAUUAUUAUUUUAGUAUAAUAUUUAAUUGUAAAAUGCUCAUUUGUAGACCAAAUUUGGUAGAUAUAAUUUUUCCAGUUUUACCUUUUAUAAUAGAAAUAAAAUUGGUAAAUAUUAAUCAUAAAUAAAAUUAAAAAGUGUACUAAUGAAGAAAAAAUAAAAAUAUAAAAAAAUUUACUAGAUUUAUUCAGAAUAGUAUUGGUUUACUAGUUUGCUUGUGUGUGUGUGUGUGUGUGUGUGUGUGUGAGGAAAGUAGUUGGUGCUCCGAGUCCACCCGCCAGGGGGAGCGGAGGAAGAGCACGACGACGAGUCGACGAACGCAAAACCCUUCCCCAAACCCUAGAAAAAAAGUGUCGACUACGAUGCUCAACUCCAUUCGCCAUCGCCAUCGCCAUCGCCUCCUCAGACCCCCUUCUUCUCCACACGGCCUCGCCUUCCUCUUCCUCAAAUCCCUCUCCUCCACCACCUCCUCCGUCGCCCCCCACUCCCAAACCCUAACCUUCCUCAUCGACUCCUGCGGCUUGUCCCCCGAAUCCGCCAUUUCCGCGUCCCAGAAGCUGCGCUUCAAGAGCACCGAGAACCCUAGCGCCGUCCUCCGCCUCCUCCGCGACUACGGCUUCGGCGAGACCCACAUCUACACGAUCAUCUCCAGGCACCCGAACCUGCUCUCCUGCGAUUCGCACAGGAUCCUCAGGCCGAAGAUCGAAGCUCUCCGCAGCUUCGGCUUCUCCGGCGAGUCGCUGGCGCGCGUCCUCACCGUCCAACCGGCGCUGCUGACGCGGAGCCUGGAGAAGCACAUCAUCCCCUGCCUCACCUUCCUCCGCACCCUCCUCGCCUCCGACGGCGACUUCGUCUCCGUCUUCACCCGCUACCCCCGCGGCCUCAACGCCGACCUCAACAGGUCCAUCUUGCCCAUCCUCGCCGUCCUCCGCAAGCACAACCUGCCCGAGGACAGGAUCCCUAAGCUCGUCAAGAUCCAUCCGAGAAUCCUGAUUCUCACGCUCCGCCGCGCCAUCGAGAUCGUCGACGGGCUUAAGGCCGCCGGGGUCCUGCCGUCCGACCUCCUCUUCAUCUACGCGUUCCGCGCGGUCGCCGGACAGAAGAGCGCGAGCUGGGACCGGAAGAUGGCGCUCUUCAAGAGCUUCGGGCUGUCGGAGGCCGACGUCGUUUCGGCGUUCCGGAGGCACCCGUGGGUCAUGCUGACGUCCGAGGAGAAGCUACGGCGGGGCCUCGAGUUUUUUCUCCGUAGGCUGAAGUUUGCUCCGGACGACAUCCUUAAGCAUCCAAUUCUCCUGUGCUACAGCUUGGAGAAGAGGAUCCUUCCCAGGUGUGCGGUGAUCACUGUUCUGAAGAGGAAGGGGAAGUUGGAAGAGAGCUCGCCCCUCAUCCCGGCGCUGAUAGAGCCCGUGCCAUCAUUCUUGAAGAGAUUUGUGAUGCGGUAUCAGGAUGAUAUUCCUGAGGUUCUCAAGGCUUAUAACCGCGAAAUCAAAUUCAAUGGAUGAUUGGGAAAUUGACUGGAGUAAGAUGCUCGAAUUGGUAAGAGAAUCGCCGACAAGCAGUCUCAUGUAUGAGGUAACGAGUUCUUUAAGCAUUUGCAGUUUGCAAGGAUCUUCCUGAUCUCUGAUUAGAGGCUUAAACACCUCUACCUCUUUUGUGUUGCUUACAUAGUGCGCCGAACAAUUCUUGUGUGAUGCAUUAAUAGUGAAGCAACUAGCUAGCCAGGAAUUCAUAUGUUUAUCGCGGAUUAAGAGUCUUAGAUCGUGGCCCAAUUGCAAAUCAUAACACUUGGAAGUUCAAAAAGUUGAAAUUUCCUACUUAAUUUACAAACUCAUAUGCCAG
rnacentral:lncRNA from 1 species